GUGCUCUCCAGAUAGUCCAGCUGGUUAGAGCGUGGUGCUGAUAAUGCCAAGGUUGCAGGUUUAAUUCCUGUAAGGGACA